UUUGGGUGUGAGUUGUUGGAUGGGAGGUGUGGAUAGCCAUGAAAUGUUUGCUUCUGGCCCAAUUCCUCCAAACACUACAACCUGUAUCCAAUUGCAAUCGAGGACAUUGCCCAGCCACAUACUUCAAUCAGAAGCUCAACACAAUUCAUACACCACAUAAUCCUCUUCGUGACGCUGCACUGGCACGGAUUCAUCAAACAACGUACAAGGAACAAUCGCUUCAAACCCGCUUCGACCUUGCGCAAACAACCGAGAAUCUGCCGAACAGCUUCAAUUUCCCCCCUCCACGAAGGACUAAACACCGAAUCCAAAUCCAUUUACUUAUAUGUGCGAAAAAUUGAAGAAAACGAAUUUGAUACGAAGCAAGGGAAUUUACCGGUUCGAAGUUUCGAAGCGAAGAUUACAAGUUCUAAUCUCCUUUGUGACCCUUCUCAGCAUUGCAAAACGACGGCAUGGCAUUCAUCACUCGAUGAUUCUGGUAUGGAGGAUCAAGUAAUCUCCUACCUUCGAUCUUCGCUUCACGUUUCUCCUCCUCUAUGCGUGUUGCUCUGAAUCCAGUUAUUUGUCGUCAAUUUCGUGAUGCUGAGUUUAUGUUCUUGAUGAAUGAGGAGGAAGGUGAUUUUUUUAUUUCGUUGUUCAAGAGUUGCGCUGAAGAUGGCGGCGGAACGUGUAUUGUGUUUUGGUAUGCUCCUCCUGUUAUUCCUUUCGAAAGGACAUGAACAGGUAAGUCCCCUCUCUCUUCUUCCUUUUCUUAUGCGUUCUUCUAUUAAUUCUCUUCUCCACCUUCUGUUUUUUCAUGUGUCUCUAGUUGUUGAGAUUCUGGAAAAUGGUUAGGGGGUUUUGCUUUUGUGUCAGUUAGAAAGAGGUGAGGGUUUGAGGAAGUGGCCGGUUUUGGAAGUUGGGAGGUUGGGGGUUUUUGGAUGCCAUUCUCUUAAGGGUUGCAGUAAGGUGUAGAGGAAGUUGUUUUCAGUUGAAGAAGUGGGUUCUGUUGGAGGUUAGUUAUGAUAGUUAGAAGGGGUGGUUAGGAUUCGGUUAUGGAGUUGUGGCUAAUGGUUGAAGAGAGAAGCUGAUUUUUUCGUUUCUGUUAUAUUUUGUCAUGUGUUUAUGCAGGUUGAAAUCCCUUUGUUAUCGUUUUGUUCCUUCUGUUUUGUUUGGAGGAAGUUGGGAAUUUGUGAGGUUGGUUAGAAGUUAGUUCUAAUUCUGCUAUGACAGUCGGUUACAAGUGGUUAGUGUUGGAGUGAAGUUGGAAAAGUUUGUCAGAAUUUUGGUUAGGCAAUUAGGACGGUUGAAGAGUUGGUUAGGUGGUUUCCGUAUCGGUUGAAAAAAAAUAUGUCAAGAGGUGGUGAGGAGAGUUUUUAUUCUAUUAUGAGUUGGUUUUUAUUUUCGACGUUGAUUGAAUUUCCUUUGCAGGUUUUUUUUUGUUCUGCCGUUACAGUUUUUCAGGGUGGUCGGUUGUCGGUUUUGGGAGUCAACACCUUCACUAUAUUAUGAGAUGAUGUUAGGGAGACAUCCAUGGAUCAAAGUCAGUGGACAUAAUAUUUGAGGUUAGUUAGGAAAAUGGGGAGAUUUGAAUUCGGUUAUUACGGUUUUGGAGGUUAUGUCCGUUAUCGAUUUGGUUGGGUCGGCAUCUCUCUUAUUGGCAUUCUGCUACGGCAAUUAGGGAGUUUUUGUUAUGGUUUUCAUUUAUGAAUUAGUGGUUUAGGGAAUGGAUUCAGAACUGGUUCUGAAUUGGAGUUCCCGAAUUUUCGAAACUAAAUUUUGGGUUGUUUAACUUCAUUCUGUCAGUUCUGUUUUGGGAUUAUGGAGAGAAGUUGAAAGUUUUUGGGUCAUAGGUUUGUGAAGUAGUUAGCCAUUUCGGUUCGAAAAAUGGUUGAGGGACCGUUACGGUAGGUUAUCCAUUUCAUGUUUUCUGAGAGGGAGUUCCGUUAGAAUUUUGUUUUGAUUGUUAUGAGUUUGUUAUGUGAAUGUGUUAGAUGAUUCUAUUGGAGUUAAGAGGAAUGGUUAUGGUUUAGUCCCUUGUGACUUUCUUUUCUGAUAUCAUGGUAUUGUUUUGCAUUGAACAGGUGUGGGGAGCUUUUGCCUACCAUUGAGUUAUGCACUAUUUCAUGUUAACUGGAAACGAAUGAGAUAUGCGUUGGUAGUGUCAUAUUGAAACUUGGUGGGAUAUUUCAUGAAAUGCACUUUCCUUAUUGAUGCUUUGAUGCAGGCUUCUUUCCUUAUGAUAUGCAGUGCUGAUCUGAUUUGGCAUUGGUCAAGGAAUGAAGCAUAUUUGACAAAGCGAAAUAUGGGUCAAUGAGGAGUCAACAUGAAAAAAAAUAGGAUUAGGAUUAGAAAUUAGGUGAGUUGACUUUGGUCCAAGUUGACUUUGAUCCACUGGUUAACCCAAAAGUCAACAGUUGAUCAAAAGUCAACUUAGGUCAAAAGCUUGUAAUCUUUGUAUGACUUGAUUUUGUAUGGCUUCCUCAUAUUUUGGUAAUGAAUUUGCAAGGACCUUACGGUGUAAUGAUGUAUAUGAAUGAAAUUGACACCUUGAAUGAAUGAA